rnacentral:rRNA from 1 species
AACGAACGCUGGCGGCAGGCCUAACACAUGCAAGUCGAGCGCACCUUCGGGUGAGCGGCGGACGGGUUAGUAACGCGUGGGAACGUACCCUUUUCUAAGGAAUAGCCUCGGGAAACUGAGAGUAAUACCUUAUACGCCCUUCGGGGGAAAGAUUUAUCGGAGAAGGAUCGGCCCGCGUUAGAUUAGAUAGUUGGUGGGGUAACGGCCUACCAAGUCUACGAUCUAUAGUUGAUUUGAGAGGAUGAUCAGCAACACUGGGACUGAGACACGGCCCAGACUCCUACGGGAGGCAGCAGUGGGGAAUCUUGGACAAUGGGCGCAAGCCUGAUCCAGCCAUGCCGCGUGAGUGAUGAAGGCCUUAGGGUCGUAAAGCUCUUUCGCCAGGGAUGAUAAUGACAGUACCUGGUAAAGAAACCCCGGCUAACUCCGUGCCAGCCGCCGCCGUAACAC